AUUGAACGCUGGCGGCAGGCUUAACACAUGCAAGUCGAGGGGUAUAGUUCUUCGGAGCUAGAGACCGGCGCACGGGUGCGUAACGCGUAUGCAAUCUACCUUUUGCAGAGGGAUAGCCCAGAGAAAUUUGGAUUAAUACCUCAUAGUAUGUGAGAAUGGCAUCAUUUUCACAUUAAAGUCACAACGGCAAAAGAUGAGCAUGCGUCCCAUUAGCUUGUUGGUAAGGUAACGGCUUACCAAGGCAACGAUGGGUAGGGGUCCUGAGAGGGAGAUCCCCCACACUGGUACUGAGACACGGACCAGACUCCUACGGAGGCAGCAGUGAGGAAUAUUGGACAAUGGGCGCAAGCCUGAUCCAGCCAUGCCGCGUGCAGGAUGACGGUCCUAUGGAUUGUAAACUGCUUUUGUACAGGAAGAAACACUGGUUCGUGAACCAGCUUGACGGUACUGUAAGAAUAAGGAUCGGCUAACUCCGUGCCAGCAGCCGCGGUAAUAC
rnacentral:rRNA from 1 species